rnacentral:rRNA from 1 species
GACGAACCGUGCGACCGUUGUUCGGAAUCACUGGGCUUAAAGGGCGCGUAGGCGGGCCACCGAGCCCGCGGUGAAAUCCCCCGGCUCAACCGGGGAAGGGCCGCGGGGACCGGGGGCCUGGAGGCGGGUAGGGGCGGGCGGAACUCUGGGUGGAGCGGUGAAAUGCGUUGAUAUCCAGAGGAACUCCGGUGGCGAAGGCGGCCCGCUGGACCCGAUCUGACGCUGAGGCGCGAAAGCCAGGGGAGCGAACGGG